rnacentral:rRNA from 1 species
UACGUAGGGUGCGAGCGUUAGUCGGAAUUACUGGGCGUAAAGCGUGCGCAGGCGGUGAUGUAAGACAGAUGUGAAAUCCCCGGGCUCAACCUGGGAACUGCAUUUGUGACUGCAUCGCUGGAGUACGGCAGAGGGGGAUGGAAUUCCGCGUGUAGCAGUGAAAUGCGUAGAUAUGCGGAGGAACACCGAUGGCGAAGGCAAUCCCCUGGGCCUGUACUGACGCUCAUGCACGAAAGUGUGGGGAGCGAACAGG